AGGGAGGAAGGCCAGGUAUUUCCUGAACGUCAUGGAACACGAGGCCCAGCAACCAAAUUAUACACCGGGUAAUUAUAGCUUCCAGCCUCAUGUCAGGAGUCCCCUGCUCAACAGCGUGCUCCUGGUGAUACUGCCACCCGUAACGGGUACUGGCUUUGCUAACAUCCUGACGAGACGUCGGGGAGAGACGGGAAGUGGCAGAGAUGGGAUCUCACUGUGUUGCCCACGCUGGUUUCAAACUCCUAGCCUCAAGCAAUCCUCCUGCCUCAGCCUCCUGAAGCCCUGGGAUUACAAGCAUAAGCCACCGCCCCCGGCCAGAUCACAUGAUUCUUUACAUCUCUGCUGACAGAUUUCAUCACUGGUGCUGAGUGCAGGGAGUCCCGCAGCCACUUACACGUGUUGCAUUGCCGGGCAAUACAGGCCUGUGUGACUUGCUAUUCUAUGGCUGGGCUUCUGCCUGCAGAUGCCUGGUUUCUCCACUGCCAAGGCUCAUGGUCUGACACAUCCAGGAAAUUCAACAGUGAGGAUGCAAUGACAAUGAGUCGUGCAUGAGGGUUCCCGGGCCUCGCUCCCCUGCCCAUCAGAGAAGGCUUGGCAUCUCAGCUGACUCGCCCUCUGCUGCCCUGGGAAGGGGGCCGCCAUGGUCAGAAUGCCUCUCUGCUUACUUGGGCUAUGGCUGGGGAGGAGUUCUUCAGGAAAUCUUGAGGAGAGAGGUGCUGGAGUAUGAGGACAAUAGGUGGAAAGGGAAGGAAAUUUAAGGAAGUAUUUCUGUGGGCCAUGUGUCUCUGUUUCAGCAUUUAAGAACGCAUAUAAGGAACUUCAGUUAUUUUGCAAUGACUCUUGUUGCUGGGUGGUGAUUCUUGACUCCACCAUUGGUUGAGUCUUGACUGCAGGCAUCGCAGCUUCAGGGGGAUUACGGAACACCAGCGCACAGAAGAAGUACACGGUAACUGAUAGUUAGACAACAGUCACGUUGCCCCUUGUGUUUCUGGAAACCCUGGGAAUAAAGGUGAUCUGGCUCAGCUCAUAUCCUUGGGAGCUUUAGCACACAAGCAGACCCAGAGAUACAGGCUUGGAUCUGAAUCUAGGAGGCCCAGCAGGAAUGGACGGGAAAACAUUCAUUUCUCUCGGAACGUCUCAUGAAAGCUCUAUUUCUAGGGCCAUGUUCACUGUGUAUUCAGGGAACUCUGCCUGUUGUUUUCAUGUCCAUUUCUGUAACUGUCAGAACUAUGAUCCCAUUUUAAAAUUUGCCUGAGUGCUUCCUCAAAUGCAAUGGAUAAUUUCCUUAACUAUACUAUUAGCAUAAAUUUGCAUAUUUAUUUCAUAAUUAAAAUGAGUAAGAAUAAAAGGCUAAUUACACCAAAAUUGCAUGAGUCACCAUAAUUAAAACUGUAGAAAAUAAUUUUACU
rnacentral:lncRNA from 1 species